AUGUCGAGCGAUAGCGAGGACGACAGUUCGGACAGUAGUCUGGCGCCCGAUGAUAGGUCAACAUCAGAAUCAUCCCGCUCGUCUUCCAGGAGUCCAGCGUCAAGCCCAGACCUCGAUUAUAUCCGGUUCAUGGAAGGGAAGCUGCCUCCGGAGUCGUCAGACGGCAACCAGACGGACAAGGAGCCGCCGGAGGGCGAAGAAGAGGACGACAAUGAUGAGAAGGAGGAAUGGUCGAACGAGCAGGAGGACGACGAUGACAACAACGACGAUGACGAUGGCGGCAGUGAUGAAAAGCCAACGGUCAGCAGCAAGAAGCAUCCUCGCCAAGACGAUGUCGCGGGGCCAUCCAACAAGAACAACAAGAAGAAGAAGGACUAA
rnacentral:rRNA from 1 species